GCCCGGAACGUCACGUACGGGACCCGUCCACGUCCGCGCCGACGCGCGGCGAGAUGCAGGGGUCCGCGAUGCCGCACCGGUCGGAGGGUUGGCAUG
rnacentral:ncRNA from 1 species